UCAGUGUACACCGUUACACAACAACCCAAAGCAAGAGACAUGGUACGAUCACGUAACAGGCAACGGCGGCGACCGGAGUCGGUGGCACGAGCACCGAAGAAGCGGACUCGUUGUAGUAGGGAAGGUAACUGAUCGGAGGUGCUUGGUAGUUGCUGAGGCGUGUUUUGGCCGCCGCAGCAAACGGGCGUCACCGGCGGGCACGGCGCCUGCAUGCCCGGGAAGGGCGGCGUCAUCGACGGCGGCAAUGGCGGAGGGCCGCCGUAGAUCGGUAGCGGCUGCGGCGGUGGCUGGCAUUCGGCGCCGUUGCAUAGGCCUUGAGCCGUGGUGGCGUUGCUGCCAGCAGUGUUGCCGGCCUCAGAUGCUUCUGCCGCCGCAGCUGCAGUUGCCAGAGCGGGAGAGAAAGAAGGUGGAUGGGCUCGGACUGACGGCGUGAAAAGGAGGAAGCGGGUUGGGUUAGGGUUGUGGGACGCCGGUCGGCUUAAUUGUCGGAUUUCAUCUCGGGCGGCGAGCCGAAGUGACGCCACGCGGGCGUUCACACCGCGGCGAGGGAUGCGGCAUUUGUCGGACCAAUGGGUUUCCGGGCGUUUCUGUAUGGGGCCACGCCGUCAAGCCGACAUGGCGGGCGUGUCCGGAUGCCCCCAUAUUUGGGCAGGAUAUGGGGGUGCCGGUCAGCCCGAGCUUUUGAGAGGUCUGUCUAGAUCAAAAAAUCGUGACCUAAUAAUGACCCGUCGGUCUGUCUGGGUAUAUGAGACGGGGUUGAGAAGUCCGGUUGUAAAUGCUCUUGCUAUAUCCAGGUUCCACACAAAAGACUGUUCUCAUGGAUCCCAACAAAUAUCUUUUUUUUUGUGAGAACUUGCACAGUGUAUCACUCGGCCAAACUGCGUGCCAAUUUACUUCCCUCAUCAAGCUUAGAGCAUCUCUAACUGAUCUUUAAAAAUAGUGAAAUGAACUGCUGAGUAAAACUUAGUACAAAUUUUACUUCAUUGAAUUUUGGCCAGACCUAGCCGAUCUUCUAAAUUUAGGGAGUAAAAAGCAAAUUCGGAUAUGAUGAACACUAACUUGAUUGAAACAAACUUAACCAAAAUUCGACACAUAGCCAUAAUACUUAAUCGAAACUAAAACUUACCCUUGCCUCCCACGUGGAGACCACUCGCGGGCCGACAACAUUUAGCUGCGACAUCUCACCCAACUCAAAGUUCUGAUGGCCGUCGGUGUUGUGCAGCCGCAGACCGACCAAAUGCUAUAUUUAUUGUCCGCCUGCUCGGCGGAGUAUAAGGAUCCGGGCCAAAGCUUCGUGUGUGUGUGCCGGUUCAUGAUAUCGGCCACUCACAUCCCCAUGCCUGCCGCCGCACGUUGAUAUACGACCUUGGUGGUGCGGGGAGCUCGGGGAAGUUGACGAGUCUGCCAUAGGUGGCAGAUGGGGCCGCGCUCGAGAAAGCACCGCGGCGGCAGCAGGAGGCAUAAGGUCACGGGAUCCGGCCAUGGCGGUACGGGUGGGGGUACACGAGCGUGGGGGGGGGGAGGGCGGUGUGCUUUACUCCGCGACCUAAAGGUCAAUUAAGUUUAGUGGGUCAACUCAGCGAAGAGUAAAAUAUACUAGCUUAACCCGCGCGGUGGCACGCCGUGCCAGUCUAUACGUCAUGAUAGAAUCAUGAACAAUUAUUAUAACCUAAGAAAAUAUACGCGGUGGCUUCACGUGUGUUAUAUGCUGUUACAUGAUCAAAAGCACAUUGAUACAUACAUAGAGACGGUGAUAUAAGACCUCAAGAUAGAAAAAAAGUACAUUUAUUACAACCAAUGCAUGAUGCAUAUUGACAAACAAAAUGACACAUGCCUUGAUACACUUCUAAUAAAAGCUACAGAUUAAAACCGUGUACAGUCCGCUCUACAUAGCCAUGCACUGAGACGUUAUGUAAAAAAUUCUAUAUACGGUGGUAUUAAACUUUAUCUGAUAAUUAUCUAAUUAACUACUCAGUUGUUGCCUGUUCACUUUUUUUAUGUUGUGGUCUAUGUACAACCAUCGUAUUGGUAUGGAAGCUGAAUUCUUUCAUAAAGAAACACACAUUACCUAGAUGCUACAUAGAAGUUCUGUAUGUGUGGAUAGAAAGAGCCUUGUGUUCAUUAUUUGGCUAAUUGGUUGGUUGUUUAUGUUAGCUGUUGUGUACUCCAUCAGUUUUUCAGGUUUGUGUAAGUUUAACUGUAUGUUUUUUCUCACAAUGUUCUUGUUUUUCAUCUUCAUAUGUAGUUUCAGGUGCUUGAUUUUAACUCUUUUUUUUAUUUUGUUUGGUUUGAUAUUCCAGUUUUGUUAAUUUCAUUUGAGAUAGAUGAUGUGCGUGUCUUUAUAAUGAUGAUACAACAAUCAGUUAUGCAUCAAAUUUUAUGCACCAAAGUACCUAGCAAAAACUUCUACUUUCCAUCCAAAAUGGAGAGUAGCAUUCUCUUUGUUUUCCAAAGAAAGCACAUCCUAAGCUCUUCUCUUCUUCCACUGAUUUUGAAGAGAACAAAUAAAAAAAGAUAGGCCUUAAUUUGAGAGUCAAGAGGUGCAUGUUGAAUCAAAUUUUAGGUGGAUUGUACAUAAAUAUAUGCAUAGAGACCCUUGUUGAAAUGUUGACCUAAAACAAAAAGAAACUUGAGACUAUCUUCUCUGAUGGCAAAUUCUGCUUGCACCGAGUUUUCGUAUGUAUGUACCGGGAACAGUUCUGCAAAAAAACCAUACACCAUUAGCAAAGACAGAUAUAUAUAGUGAUGAACCAUCUAUUUUGCGAAACAAAUAUGUGUGGCUUUGAGAACUAACUAACCUCCUUCAGAGUACCCGGAUGUACUACAUACAUCAUACUUCCAAGUCACAAAUCACAGGCAAAGAGUGUUCCUACUAAGAUCAAGAAGCGCUGUCAAGUGCCCUACUAUUCCAACAUGCAUGCACGCUACUUGACCGAACAAAUGAUAAGACAUAUGCAUGUACACCUGCUAGUACCAACCUUCUUCCAGUUGUAUAGUACUGUAGUACAUUAUAAUGGACGUCUCGGCUCAAUUCGAUACCUCUACAGAUACGACAAUUCAAAUUACUAUUACAUCUCUCAAAUUGUAGCAAAUAAAUUAUAUGUACAAUCAAUUAGCAAGUACUAUCAUUAGCAAAAACAGAAACAUGUAUGCUAGCAACCCGUGUGUCCGGUACAUGUGCAUCUUGUCCAUCAUGUGGGUGGCCUAUCGUAGGAUUCUGAGUUCCUCCGGCAGCAGGACACGGUUGAAAACCAUGGGCGCAUGAUCUUUCUCGUUACUGGCAAUAAAAUCUGCCAGACUGCCGUUGUCCACUUCAGUUAGAACCCAAUUUCUGAAAAUAAGAAACUUUGCUAGGUGCAUAUAUUUUAAAGCAUGACCAUUAAUAAUAAUACCUCUCUGUAUUAUCCUCCAAGUGGGCUGUUGCACCAGUACUUGUUCAUUCACAAUAUUCGGGUAGAAACUUAGACAAUAAAACAUUGCAAAUCAGAAGGAAUAUUUCAAGGCAAACUCCGUAUCAAUAAAACAAACAGAAUAUAAAAAGAUCAUGAGAUCUGGAAUCAUAAAAGUAGCAAAGGAAAAAAGAAGAAAUAUGAACAACACAGGAAAUUUCGCUGGAUGGUACUCGUUCAUCCCUGCUGAAAAUGAAGACAUGGGAACUUAGAGCUUCAUGGAGAAAUUGCUGAUCAUGAGGUUGUAGAUCAGUGAGCACAACCAUCAGUUCAUCUACAAAAAGGACACUGUCCUGCAACAAAAACUACUGGGAAAAAAAUCACAUCAAAAGGAGAGGAGGACAACGUCUGAACUUUAAUUAAAGAUGCAGCAAAGAGAGAGGAGCGUAUCUUCUGUACCUACUGAGGAGGUGCUCAUGCAAAUAUAUAGAAGCAGUUCAUAUGUAAAAAAAAUGCAAACUGUUAGGGAAUUAUGCAACUUGAUAUUAUUAGGAGGCCAAAGCCAUCGUAUAUACAUGUACAAAGAAUGCCAAGAGACUAGAAUACAAAAGGCCAAAGGCCAUCCUCAAUAUAACUCUAACACCCCCCCCCCCCAAACUCAUGGUGGAUCCACAACACUAAGUUUGGAGAGGUGAAAUCCAUGCCGCGCUCUAGUCUGGGCCUUCGUGAAGAAGUCUGCUAGUUGUAACUCGGAAGGCACAUGCUGAAGGCCAAUAACAUGAUCCUGCACAGCAGCGCGCACAAAGAAAGCAUCAACACCAAUAUGCUUGGUAAGCUCAUGCUUCACCGGGUCCCGCGCAAUACUGAUAGCACCUGUACUGUCUGACAAGAGGGUGGUAGGUGUAGUAACAGAAAUGCCAAAAUCCUCCAGUAACCACCGUAACCAAGUCACCUCUGUCGUCAGAAGAGCCAUAGCUCUCAACUCGGCCUCUGCACUCGGACGAGAAACUGCAGUGUGUUUCUUCAUCUUUCAGGCAAUGAGAGAACCAUCAAGAAAAACACAGUAAGCAGAAAGUGAACGGCGGUCCGAAGGAUCACUAGCCCAUGUAGCAUCUAAAUAGGCCCGAAGCUGUAACGAGCUGGAACGGGGGAAAAAGAGACGACGAGAGAUUGUGCCACGAAGAUAUCGUAGAACACGAAGAAGGUGACUAUAGUGAACUGAAGUGGGAGCAGAAACAAACUGACUCAGAAUAUGGACAGGAUAGGAGAUAUCCGGGCGUGUGACAGCAAGAUAGACAAGACUCCCAACAAGAUGACGAUAACGCGUCGGAUCAGACAAGGGCUCACCAUCAGAAGCACAAAGGUUAAGAUUGAGCGUCAUAGGAGUCUCAACAGUGCGCUCAUCACUAAGAGCCGCACGAGUAAGAAGAUCCUGCAUAUACUUUUCUUGUGAAAUAAAAAAGCCAUCGGAGGUGGAUGAAACCUCAAUCCCAAGAAAAUAACGAAGAGGACCAAGAUCAGACAUAAGAAACUGCUCACUGAGGCGGGCCUUGAGAAAGGCAAUGUACUCAGAAUCGUCGCCAGUGAUGAUCAUGUCAUCAACAUAUAGAAGAAGAAGAGUCCUACCACGAGCAGAAAGAUGGACAAACAAUGUGUUGGGUUUCGUAGUAAUUUCAAAAAAAUUCCUACGCACACGCAAGAUCAUGGUGAUGCAUAGCAACGAGAGGGGGAGAGUGUGAUCUACGUACCCUUGUAGAUCAACAACGGAAGCGUUAACUUAGUUGAUGUAGUCGUACGUCUCCACAGCCCGACCGAUCAAGCACCGAAACUACGACACCUCCGAGUUCUAGCACACGUUCAGCUCGAUGACGAUCCCCGGACUCCGAUCCAGCAAAGUGUCGGGGAAGAGUUCCGUCAGCACGACGGCGUGGUGACGAUCUUGAUGUUCUACUGUCGCAGGGCUUCGCCUAAGCACCGCUACAAUAUUAUCGAGGACUAUGGUGGAAGGGGGCACCGCACACGGCUAAGAAUAUGAUCACGUGGAUCAACUUGUGUGUCAAGGGGUGCCCCCUGCCCCCGUAUAUAAAGGAUCAAGGGGAGGAGGCCGGUCGGCCUCUAUGGCGCGCCAAGGAGGAGUCCUCCUCCUAGUAGGAGUAGGACUCCUACUAGGAGGGGGAAAGACGUGGGGAGGGAGAAGGAAAGGGGGGCGCCGCCCCCCCUCUCCUAGUCCAAUUCGGACCAGGGGGAGGAGGCGCGCGGCCCACCUUUGGCUGCCCCUCUCUCUCUCCACUAAGGCCCAUAUGGCCCAUUNNNNNNNNNNNNNNNNNNNNNNNNNNNNNNNNNNNNNNNNNNNNNNNNNNNNNNNNNNNNNNNNNNNNNNNNNNNNNNNNNNNNNNNNNNNNNNNNNNNNNNNNNNNNNNNNNNNNNNNNNNNNNNNNNNNNNNNNNNNNNNNNNNNNNNNNNNNNNNNNNNNNNNNNNNNNNNNNNNNNNNNNNNNNNNNNNNNNNNNNNNNNNNNNNNNNNNNNNNNNNNNNNNNNNNNNNNNNNNNNNNNNNNNNNNNNNNNNNNNNNNNNNNNNNNNNNNNNNNNNNNNNNNNNNNNNNNNNNNNNNNNNNNNNNNNNNNNNNNGGCUCUCCGGUUUUCUCCGAAAUCACCCAGAACACUUCCGGUGUCCGAAUAUAGCCGUCCAAUAUAUCAAUCUUUAUGUCUCGACCAUUUCGAGACACCUCGUCGUGUUCAUGAUCACAUCCGGGACUCCGAACUAGCUUCGGUACAUCAAAACUCAUAAACUCAUAAUAUAAUUGUCAUCGAAACCUUAAGCAUGCAGACCCUACGGGUUCGAGAACAAUGUAGACAUGACCGAGACACGCCUCCGGUCAAUAACCAAUAGCGGAACCUGGAUGCUCAUAUUGGCUCCUACAUAUUCUACGAAGAUCUUUAUCGGUCAGACCGCAUAACAACAUACGUUGUUCCCUUUGUCAUCGGUAUGUUACUUGCCCGAGAUUCGAUCGUUGGUAUCUCAAUACCUAGUUCAAUCUCGUUACCGACAAGUCUCUUUACUCGUUUCAUAAUACAUCAUCUCACAACUAACUCAUUAGUUGCAAUGCUUGCAAGGCUUAUGUGAUGUGCAUUACCGAGAGGGCCCAGAGAUACCUCUCCGACAAUCGGAGUGACAAAUCCUAAUCUCGAAAUACGCCAACCCAACAUGUACCUUUGGAGACACCUGUAGAGCUCCUUUAUAAUCACCCAGUUACGUUGUGACGUUUGGUAGCACACAAAGUGUUCCACCGGUAAACUGGAGUUGCAUAAUCUCAUAGUCAUAGGAACAUGUAUAAGUCAUGAAGAAAGCAAUAGCAACAUACGAAACGAUCGAGUGCUAAGCUAACGGAAUGGGUCAAGUCAAUCACAUCAUUCUCCUAAUGAUGUGAUCCCGUUAAUCAAAUAACAACUCUUUGUCUAUGGUGAGGAAACAUAACCAUCUUUGAUUAACGAGCUAGUCAAGUAGAGGCAUACUAGUGCUCUGUUUGUCUAUGUAUUCACACAUGUAUUAUGUUUCCGGUUAAUACAAUUCUAGCAUGAAUAAUAAACAUUUAUCAUGAAAUAAGGAAAUAAAUAAUAACUUUAUUAUUGCCUCUAGGGCAUAUUUCCUUCAGUCUCCCACUUGCACUAGAGUCAAUAAUCUAGUUCACAUCGCCAUGUGAUCUAACAUCAAUAGUUCACAUCUUUAUGUGGUUAACACCCAUAGUUCACAUAGAUAUGUGACCAACACCCAAAGGGUUUACUAGAGUCAGUAAUCUAGUUCACAUUGCUAUGUGAUUAACACCCAAAGAGUACUAAGGUGUGAUCAUGUUUUGCCUGUGAGAGAAGUUUAGUCAACGGGUCUGCCGUAUUCAGAUCCGUAAGUAUUUUGCAAUUUUCUAUGUCUACAAUGCUCUGCACAGAGCUACUUUAGCUAAUUGCUCCCACUUUCAAUAUGUAUCCAGAUGAAGACUAAGAGUCAUCCGGAUUAGUGCCAAAACUUGUAUCGACGUAACCCUUUUACGACGAACCUUUUGUCACCUCCAUAAUCGAGAAACAUAUCCUUAUUCCACUAAGGAUAAUUUUGACCGCUGUCCAGUGAUCUACUUCUAGAUCACUAUUGUACUCCCUUGACAAAAUUAGUGUAGGGUAUACAAUAGGUCUGGUACACAGCAUGUCAUACUUUAUAGAACCUAUGGCCAAGGCAUAGGGAAUGACUUUCAUUCUCAUUCUAUUUUCUGCCGUGGUCGGGCUUUGAGUCUUACUCAAUUUCACACCUUGUAACACAGGCAAGAAUUCUUUCUUUCACUGUUCCAUUUUGAACUACUUCAAAAUCUUGUCAAGGUAUGUACUCAUUGAAAAAAAAACUUAUCAAGCGUCUUGAUCUAUCUCUAUAGAUCUUGAUGCUCAAUAUUUAAGUAGCUACACCGAGGUUUUCUUUGAAAAAAUCCUUUCAAACACUCCUUUAUGCCUUGCAGAAUAAUUCCACAUUAUUCCGAUCAACAAUAUGUCAUACACAUACACUUAUCAGAAAUGUUGUAGUGCUCCCACUCACUUUCUUGUAAAUGCAUGCUUCACCGCAAGUCUGUAUAAAACUAUAUGCUUUGAUCAACUUAUCAAAGCGUAUAUUCCAACUCCGAGAUGCUUGCACCAGUCCAUAGAUGGAUCGCUGGAGCUUGCAUAUUUUGUUAGCACCUUUAGGAUUGACAAAACCUUCUGGUUGCAUCAUAUACAACUCUUCUUUAAAUCCAUUAAGGAAUGUAGUUUUGUUUAUCCAUUUGCCAGAUUUCAUAAAAAUGCGGCAAUUGCUAACAUGAUUUGGACAGACUUAAGCAUCGCUACGAGUGAGAAAAUUUCAUCGUAGUCAACACCUUGAACUUUGUCAAAAACCUUUUUCGACAAGUCUAGCUUUGUAGAUAGUAACACUACUAUCAGAGUCCGUCUUCCUCUUGAAGAUCCAUUUAUUUUCUAUGGCUUGCCGAUCAUCGGGCAAAUCCAUUAAAGUCCAUACUUUGUUCUCAUACAUGGAUCAUAUCAAAGAUUUCAUGGCCUCAAACCAUUUCGCGGAAUCUGGGCUCAUCAUCGCUUCCUCAUAGUUCGCAAGUUCAUCAUGGUCUAGUAACAUGACUUCCAGAACAGGAUUACCGUACCACUCUGGUGUGGAUCUCACUCUGGUUUACCUACGAGAUUCGAUAGUGACUUGAUCUGAAGUUACAUGAUCAUCAUCAUUAGCUUCCUCACUAAUUGGCGUAGUAGUCACAAGAACAGAUUUCUGUGAUGAACUACUUUCCAAUAAGGGAGAAGGUACAAUUACCUUAUCAAGUUUUCUACUUUCCUCCCGCUCACUUCUUUCGAGAGAAACUCCUUCUCUAGAAAGGAUCCAUUCUUAGCAACGAAUGUCUUGCCUUCGGAUCUGUGAUAGAAGGUGUACCCAACAGUCUCCUUUGGGUAUCCUAUGAAGACAUAUUUCUCCGAUUUGGGUUUGAGCUUAUCAGGAUGAAACUUUUUCACAUAAGCAUCACAACCCAAAACUUUAAGAAACGACAACUUUGGUUUCUUGCCAAACCAUAAUUUAGAUUGUGUCGUCUCAACGGAUUUAGAUGGUGCCCUUUUAACGUGAAUGCAACUGUCUCUAAUGCAUAACCCCAAAACAAUAGUGGUAGAUCGGUAAGGGACAUCAUAGAUUGCACUAUAUCCAAUAAAGUACGGUUAUGACGAUUGGACACACCAUUAUGCUGUGGUGUUCCAGGUGGCAUGAGUUUGUGAAACUAUUCCACAAUGUUUUAAUUGAAGACCAAACUCGUAACUCAAAUAUUUGUCUCCGCGAUCAGAUCGUACAAACCUUUUCUUUUCUUGUCACGAUGAUUUUCCACUUCACCCUGAAAUCAUUUGAACUUUUCAAAUGUUUCAGACUUAUGUUUCAUCAAGUAGAUAUACUCAUAUUUUUUCAAAUCAUCUGUGAAGAUCAGAAAAUAAUGAUACCUGUCGUGAGCCUCAAUAUUCAUCGGACCACACACAUCAGUAUGUAUGAUUUCCAACAAAUCUGUUGCUCGCUCCAUUGUUCCGAAGAACGGAGUCUUGGUCAUCUUGCCCAUGAGGCAUGGUUCGCAAGCAUCAACUGAUUCAUAAUCAAGUGAUUCCAAAAGCCCAUUAGUAUGGAGUUUCUUCAUGCGCUUUACACCAAUAUGACCUAAACGGCAGUGCCACAAAUAAGUUGCACUAUCAUUAUUAAAUUUGCAUCUUUUGGUUUCAAUAUUAUGAUUAUGUGUAUCACUACGAUCUAGAUCCAAUGAACUAUUUUCAUUGGGUGUGUAACCAUAUGAGGUUUUAUUCAUGUAAAUAGAACAACAAUUUAUUCUCUUACUUAAAUGAAUAACCGUAUUACAAUAAACAUGAUCAAAUCAUAUUUAUGCUCAACGCAAACACCAAAUAACACUUAUUUAGGUUCAACAUUAAUCCCGAAAUUAUAGGGAGUGUGCGAUGAUGAUCAUAUCAAUCUUGGAACCACUUCCAAUACACAUCGUCACUUCACCCUUAACUAGUCUCUGUUUAUUCUGCAACUCCCGUUUCGAGUUACUAAUCUUAGCAACUGAACUAGUAUCAAAUACUGAGGGGUUGCUAUAAACACUAGUAAAGUACACAUCAAUAAUAUGUAUAUCAAAUAUACUUAUGUUCACUUUGCCAUCCUUCUUAUCCGCCAAUCACUUGGGGUAGUUCCGCUUCCAGUGACCAGUCCCUUUGCAGUAGAAGCACUUAGUCUCAGGCUUAGGACCAGACUUGGGCUUCUUCACUUGAGCAGCAACUUGCUUGUUGUUCUUCUUGAAGUUCCCUUUUUUUUCUUUUGCCCUUUUCUUGAAACUAGUGAUCUUGUCAACCAUCAACACUUGAUGCUUUUUCUUGAUUUCUACCUUCAUCGAUUUCAUCAUGAAGAGCUUGGGAAUCAUUUUCGUCAUCCCUUGCAUACUAUAGUUCAUCACGAAGUUCUACUAACUUGGUGAUGGUGACUAGAGAAUUCUGUCAAUCACUAUCUUAUCUGGAAGAUUAACUCCCACUUGAUUCAAGCGAUUGUAGUACCCAGACAAUCUGAGCACAUGCUCACUAGUUGAGCGAUUCUCCUCCAUCUUUUAGCUAUAGAACUUGUUGGAGACUUCAUAUCUCUCAACUCGGGUAUUUGCUUGAAAUAUUAACUUCAACUCCUGGAACAUCUCAUAUGGUCCAUGACAUUCAAAACGUCUUUGAAGUCCCGAUUCUAAGCCAUUAAGCAUGGUGCACUAAACUAUCAAGUAGUCAUCAUAUUGAGCUAGCCAAACGUUCAUAACGUCUGCAUCUGCUCCUGCAAUAGGUCUGUCACCUAGCGGUGCAUCAAGGACAUAAUUCUUCUGUGCAGCAAUGAGGAUAAACCUCAGAUCACGGAUCCAAUCCGCAUCAUUGCUACUAACAUCUUUCAACACAAUUUUCUCUAGGAACAUAUCAAAAUAAACACAGGGAAGCAACAACGCGAGCUAUUGAUCUACAACAUAAUUUGCAAAAUACUACCAGGACUAAGUUCAUGAUAAAUUUAAGUUCAAUUAAUCAUAUUACUUCAGAACUCCCACUUAGAUAGACAUCCCUUUAAUCCUCUAAGUGAUUACGUGAUCCAAAUCAACUAAACCAUGUCCGAUCAUCACGUGAGAUGGAGUAGUUUCGUUGGUGAACAUCGCUAGGUUGAUCAUAUCUACUAUAUGAUUCACGCUCGACCUUUCGGUCUCCGUGUUCCGAGGCCAUAUAUGUAUAUGCUUGGCUCGUCAAGUAUAACCUGAGUAUUCCGCGUGUGUAACUGUUUUGCACCCGUUGUAUUUGAACGUAGAGCCUAUCACACCCGAUCAUCACGUGGUGUCUCAACACGAAGAACUUUCGCAACGGUGCAUACUCAGGGAGAACACUUCUUGAUAAUUAGUGAGAGAUCAUCUUAUAAUGCUACCAUCAAUCAAAGCAAGAUAAGAUGCAUAAAAGAUAAACAUCACAUGCAAUCAAUAUAAGUGAUAUGAUAUGGCCAUCAUCAUCUUGUGCUUGUGAUCUCCAUCCUCGAAGCACCGUUGUGAUCACCAUCGUCACCGGCGUGACACCUUGAUCUCCAUCGUAGCAUCGUUGUUGUCUCGCCAAUCUCAUGCUUCCACGACUAUCGCUACCGCUUAGUGAUAAAGUAAAGCAUUACAGCGUGAUUGCAUUGCAUACAAUAAAGCGACAACCAUAUGGCUCCAGCCAGUUGCCGAUAACUUGGUUACAAAACAUGAUCAUCUCAUACAAUAAAAUUUAGCAUCAUGUCUUGACCAUAUCACAUCAUAACAUGCCCUGCAAAAACAAGUUAGACGUCCUCUACUUUGUUGUUGCAAGUUUUACGUGGCUGCUACGGGCUUAAGCAAGAACCAAUCUUAGCUACGCAUCAAAACCACAACGAUAGUUUGUCAAGUUGGUGUUGUUUUAACCUUCGCAAGGACCGGGCGUAGCCACACUCGGUUCAACUAAAGUUGGAAAAACUGUCACCCGCUAGCCACCUUUGUGCAAAGCACGUCGGGAGAACCGGUCUCGCGUAAGCGUAAGCGUAAUGUCGGUCUGGGCCGCUUCGUCCAACAAUACCGCCGAACCAAAGUAUGACAUGCUGGUAAGCAGUAUGACUUAUAUCGCCCACAACUCACUUGUGUUCUACUCGUGCAUAUAACAUCAACACAUAAAACCUAGGCUCGGAUGCCAUUGUUGGGUUUCGUAGUAAUUUCAAAAAAUUUCCUACACACACGCAAGAUCAUGGUGAUGCAUAGCAACGAGAGAGGGAGAGUGUGAUCUACGUACCCUUGUAGAUCGACAACGGAAGCGUUAACUUAGUUGAUGUAGUCGUACGUCUCCACGGCCCGACCGAUCAAGCACCGAAACUACGGCACCUCCGAGUUCUAGCACACGUUCAGCUCGAUGACGAUCCCCGGACUCCGAUCCAGCAAAGUGUCGGGGAAGAGUUCCAUCAGCACGACGGCGUGGUGAUGAUCUUGAUGUUCUACUGUCGCAGGGCUUCGCCUAAGCACCGCUACAAUAUUAUCGAGGACUAUGGUGGAAGGGGGCACCGCACACGGCUAAGAAUAUGAUCACGUGGAUCAACUUGUGUGUCAAGGGGUGCUCCCUGCCCCCGUAUAUAAAGGAUCAAGGGGAGGAGGCCGGUCGGCCUCUAUGGCGCGCCAAGGAGGAGUCCUCCUCCUAGUAGGAGUAGGACUCCUACUAGGAGGGGGAAAGAAGUGAGGAGGGAGAAGGAAAGGGGGGCGCCGCCCCCCCCCCCUCCUCUCCUAGUCCAAUUCGGACAAGGGGGGGAGGANNNNNNNNNNNNNNNNNNNNNNNNNNNNNNNNNNNNNNNNNNNNNNNNNNNNNNNNNNNNNNNNNNNNNNNNNNNNNNNNNNNNNNNNNNNNNNNNNNNNNNNNNNNNNNNNNNNNNNNNNNNNNNNNNNNNNNNNNNNNNNNNNNNNNNNNNNNNNNNNNNNNNNNNNNNNNNNNNNNNNNNNNNNNNNNNNNNNNNNNNNNNNNNNNNNNNNNNNNNNNNNNNNNNNNNNNNNNNNNNNNNNNNNNNNNNNNNNNNNNNNNNNNNNNNNNNNNNNNNNNNNNNNNNNNNNNNNNNNNNNNNNNNNNNNNNNNNNNNNNNNNNNNNNNNNNCUCCGAAAUCACCCGGAACACUUCCGGUGUCCGAAUAUAGCCGUCCAAUAUAUCAAUAUUUAUGUCUCGACCAUUUCGAGACUCCUCAUCAUGUCCGUGAUCACAUCCGGGACUCCGAACUAGCUUCGGUACAUCAAAACUCAUAAACUCAUAAUAUAACUGUCAUCGAAACCUUAAGCGUGCGGACCCUACGGGUUCGAGAACAAUGUAGACAUGACCGAGACACGUCUCCGGUCAAUAACCAAUAGCGGAACCUGGAUGCUUAUAUUGGCUCCUACAUAUUCUACGAAGAUCUUUAUCGGUCAGACCGCAUAACAACAUACGUUGUUCCCUUUGUCAUCGGUAUGUUACUUGCCCGAGAUUCGAUCGUCGGUAUCUCAAUACCUAGUUCAAUCUCGUUACCGGCAAGUCUCUUUACUUGUUUCGUAAUACAUCAUCUCGCAACUAACUCAUUAGUUGCAAUGCUUGCAAGGCUUAUGUGAUGUGCAUUACCGAGAGGGCCCAGAGAUACCUCUCCGACAAUCGGAGUGACAAAUCCUAAUCUCGAAAUACGCCAACCCAACAUGUACCUUUGGAGACACCUGUAGAGCUCCUUUAUAAUCACCCAGUUACGUUGUGGAGUUUGGUAGCACACAAAGUGUUCCUCCGGUAAACGGGAGUUGCAUAAUCUCAUAGUCAUAGGAACAUGUAUAAGUCAUGAAGAAAGCAAUAGCAACACACUAAACGAUUGAGUGCUAAGCUAACGGAAUGGGUCAAGUCAAUCACAUCAUUCUCCUAAUGAUGUGAUCCCGUUAAUCAAAUAACAACUCUUUGUCUAUGGUUAGGAAACAUAACCAUCUUUGAUUAACGAGCUAGUCAAGUAGAGGCAUACUAGUGACACUCUGUUUGUCUAUGUAUUCACACAUGUAUUAUGUUUCCGGUUAAUGCAAUUCUAGCAUGAAUAAUAAACAUUUAUCAUGAAAUAAGGAAAUAAAUAAUAACUUUAUUAUUGCCUCUAGGGCAUAUUUCCUUCACAAUGCUGGAUCAUGAGCACUGGGCAAAAAACCAGCGGCAGUCACCAUAGAGGCAAAGCGCUCAAACCAGGCACGGGGGGCUUUCUUAAGGCCAUAAAGAAAGUGACGAAGACGACAAACCAUGCCAUCAGGAACAGAAUACCCAGGUGGUGGCUGCAUAUAAACCUCCUCGCGCAACUCACCAUUUAGAAAGGCAUUCUUCACAUCAAGCUGAGACACGGACCAAUGGUGAACAGAGGCCACAACGAGAUGUGUACGGACAGUGGUCAUAUGGGCCACGGGAGCAAAAGUCUCAUCGUAAUCACGACCAUGCUCUUGCUGAAAGCCACGAGCCACGAGACGAGCUUUAUAACGCUCAAGAGAACCAUCAGAGCGAGUCUUUAUCUUAUAGACCCACUUACAAGUGAUGGGACGAACACCGGGAGGAAGAGAAACCAGAUCCCACGUGCCGGUGCGCUCAAGGGCAGCAAUCUCCUCUGCCAUCGCAAACUGCCAUUUAGGAUGCAAAAUAGCAUCUCGAUAAGAAGUCGGCUCAAGAACAGUCGAAAGACCAUAGCGAGAAGGAGAAUAUCGGUCAGGGGGCGGACAAGGCCGAGAAUGAAGACCAUAAGUCGGUUGAGAGGAGGAAGACGACACACCAGUAGUGGGCACAUCAGUAGACUCAUCCACAAUACAUGGACGGCGAGUAUAAUGAAAAGGAAAGGAGGGAAGAGGUGGAACCACUGGAGAUGGAGACUGGGAAUGUAUCGAUGAAGGUGAUGAAGGGAAAGGUAUUGGUGAUGAAGGUGUAGAAGGUGAAGAUAUCGAUGAUGAAGGUGGCGAGUCAUGUGAUGAGGGAGGAGAAGAAACCGUAGGAGAGGACGACAUCGAAUCUGCAACAGCGGGACGAGGAGUAGGAAUAAUGGGCACAGAUGGAGGUGUAUCUGGAAACGUAAGAAAAGAGAUAUCCUCUGUGGAAAAGGCUGAGGAGGAUGGGCGCGGGUAGAAGGGACGAGACUCAUCAAAGGUCACAUCCCAAGAAAUACGCAUCCGAUGACCGAUGGGAUCCCAACACCGAUAGCCCUUAUGCCCAUUACUGUAUCCGAGAAAGACACACUCAACAGACUGAGCGGCCAGUUUGGUGCGUUCACGAGGAGCAAGCAAUACAUAGCAAACACACCCAAACAAGCGAAGCACCGAAUAAUCAGGAGAACGACCAGAAAGACGUUCAAGAGGAAUUCCGCCCUGUAGGGCAGCAGAUGGCUGAAUGUUAAUGAGAUACAUGGAAGUAGUAACAGCCUCAGCCCAGAAGUGAGGCAGAAGAGAGGCAGCGAUCAUCAUCGCGUGUGCCGUCUCAAGAAGGUGACGAUGCUUGCGCUCAGCCACACCAUUCUGAGCAUGAGCACCAGGGCAAGAGAACUGAGGAAGAGUACCUUGCUCAUCAAGGAAUCCUCGUAGCGCAUGGGAGAUAUACUCACCAGCUGAAUCUGCGCGAAAGACACGAAUAGGAGUGGAAAACUGGGUUUGAACCAUGGCAACAAAUUUUUUGUAUAUAGAUAAGACCUCACUACGAGAAGACAUGAAAUAGAUCCAGGUGUACCGCGAAAAAUCGUCUAUAAAGAUAAUAUAGUAGCGGUGACCCCCUUUGGAAGCAAAGGGAGCCGGACCCCAAACAUCAGAGUGAAUGAGGUCAAAAGGGCGCUCGGACAUCGACUCACUGUGAGGAUACGGUAGUUGAAUCUGCUUACCAAGCCUACAACCCAGACAAUCCAGCAAAGCAUUACCGGACACAGACCCCAGAACACCGCGCUGAACCAAAGAUGAGAGACGAGAACCACAUAAAUGGCCAAGACGAUGAUGCCACUGCUGAAAAGAGCUAGUAGAUGCAGCAACAGGGGCUACGGAACUGGCAGCGGUGGCAGCGGAAGGAAGACAUAGCCAGUCAAGCUCCCGGAGACCAUUAGAGCGUCGAGGGCCAGCACCAAGUAGAGCGCCCGUGUGACGAUCCUGGACGGAAUACGAAUCAAAGUCGAGGAUGACCCUACAACUAGAGUCAACAAUCUGACCACCAGAUAUGAGUUGCAUGGUAAGUCGAGGAACAUGAGUGACAGAGGGAACAUUAAAUGAAGAAGUGGUAAGAGUGCCUCGACUAGCUACAGGGAGGGGAGUGCCAUCAGCUGUAAGAACACGAACAGGAGACUCAACAGGUUGAACGGAAGUCAAAGUGGAAGAAUCAUAUGUCAUAUGAAAAGAUGCUCCGGUAUCAAGAAUCCAUGGGGAUGUACCUGAAUGAGUAGAAGGUGGUUUCUCAAUGCCAGAAGAGUCAGUCACGGAACCUGUAGAACUUGUCGGUGAAGAAUCCCAAGUAGCAAGCAGAGAUUUCAGCUGCGCAAUCUCACACGAAGACAAGGAUACGGCGGAAGAGGUCGAGGUAGAAACACCAGCCGAUAAUAAGCAGUCUCCACCACCCGUAGAAUCCGCAUGUAGAGUCAGUCGAGAGUGGCGAGUCGACGUAGAGCCAUAUGUGGGAGCCACUUGGGGAGUCGACAUAGAGCGAUCACCACCGCGCGCGGAAGCCGCAAGAGGAGUCGAUGUAGAGCAACCAACAACACCGGUGGAAGUCGCAAAAAGUGUCGAAGUAGAGCGACAACCACCAUCUCCAAGCGGGCGAGCACCAAGCACCGAGGAAAGGUGCAUGUGCGAGAUAGGAUCAAUGUACGGAACACCGUCAAAAAUCACCGGACAACGAGGAGAGACUGUGCCCGAUGACAACAUAUUGUUUUUUUACUCUGUCUCUUUUUUUCUCUCUCUCUUUCUCUUUUUCUUUUACUCACGUGCUAAGGAACUGUGCGGGUCAACUCUCGAUGGGAUCGAGCGACCGAGAAGCGGACAUGCUCGGGGCGACCAACACCAGACAAUAGCCACGGCAGAAUAUGCCUCGAACGGCUAGGAAUCGGCCGGCGGGGCGGCGGCGGCCAGACGAGGGCCACGGCCAGGAGGAGGCGGCGGCCGGUGGAGCAGUCGUGGCCGGAGGACGAGGGAGCCGAUGAAUCGAGGGCGGGGCCAGACAGGCAGCUGGCGGCGACAGGCGGACGGGGCCGGCCUGGGAGCGCCCGCCCGUGAAGAGCAGCGGGACCUGCGAGAGCUGGCCUUCGGCGGCAGAGGCCCGACCAGGGAGAGCCAAAGGCCGGCGCGCGGCGGACGGACCUCAAGCGGCAGUCAGAGACGAGGCGGCGGCGGCCCGAACCAAAUCCCGGCGGAGGGCGGUAGUGGAAGCCGGCAACGGCCAAAUGAAGUCAGUGGCGGACGUCCCGGUCUGGGAUGCAGCGGGCUGCAGGAAGCACGGUCGGAGCCGACGAGGAACGGCGGCUCGGGUGGAAUCUGGGACCUCCUUUGUCCAGAUCGAGACCGAUCUCGCACAGACAGAACCUGGGAACGAUGGACAGGCAAAGUAGAGGAGCGGCAGCAGAGGAAACUGCACGCGUGAGAGGCAACAGCCAAGCGGAGGCAGGAGACGAUUUGGAGCAGCGCAGCUGGGAAAGGAUGAUCACAGCGGUGCGAUUGGAUCGAGCACGAGUUGCAGUGUGCGAAAAAAGAACCAAAGCUCUAAUAUCAUGUUAGGGAAUUAUGCAACUUGAUAUUACUAGGAGGCCAAAGCCAUCAUAUAUACAUGUACAAAGAAUGCCAAGAGAUUAGAAUACAAAAGGCCAAAGGCCAUCCUCAGUAUAACUCUAACACAAACCUCUAACCUAUGCAUACUAUUUCAUACCAGUCAGAUCUAAACCUAAUUAAUUCAGAGUAUAAUUUUCAAAUUUACAAUGGAAUUACAAAGAAAAUGUGGCAACAUGUGAACCCAAAACCUGCAUUAUUGCUUCUGGCUUCAUAUAAUGCCUUAUUCCAUAGAAAGGUAUGUUCUAAAGAACAAAAAAAAUUGACUUCACCACGCAUACAAAAUGAACAUAGAAAGAUAUAUAUAAUAAAAGUUGCCCAAAAGAAAACUUAAACUUAUAUCCAAAACCGAGAAGACAUGAGUAUCACACGAACCUCCAAAUCCACAUCUAGAAAUGUGUCUAAAUCCACAACAGCAUUUCUUCCACUAAGAUCUAAAAGCAACCUAAAAGUAAUCUUGGCUUAUCUAAUAUGAAAAUAGUGAAACUGCAUCUGGGGGAUAAGCAGUCCCUUACACCUGAUAACCAUCCUCUUCACUUUUUCUGAUGAAACCUUCUGUUUUUAGCUGAACAUCAAGGGAUGAGAUAUUUAUAUAACCAUCUUGUUCACUUUGUCUGCUAUAAAAGCAACAGGUUAUAGUUGAUCAUUAGCUUUAGUUCUUGUCGACAUAUUAACAAACAUAUAGCGAUCAUGAAAUAACCACAUCAAGAAUAUUAUACGUACACAGCGAUCUUACCAGUCACGACAGAAAUCCCCUCCCGCGCCGCUCCCGCGCGGCGACCGGGAGGGCAAACCCCAGCGCCACCAAGCGAGCUCUCCCUUCCCCUGCCCUCUCCUCGCCGCCGCCAGGCUGCGCCGCCGGGCAAAGCCCGGUCGGCGUCAGCGGCGGCGGGGCAUCUCCUCCCCAUGUGCGGUGUCGGCAGGCGCGGGCGUCUGCAUCGNNNNNNNNNNNNNNNNNNNNNNNNNNNNNNNNNNNNNNNNNNNNNNNNNNNNNNNNNNNNNNNNNNNNNNNNNNNNNNNNNNNNNNNNNNNNNNNNNNNNNNNNNNNNNNNNNNNNNNNNNNNNNNNNNNNNNNNNNNNNNNNNNNNNNNNNNNNNNNNNNNNNNNNNNNNNNNNNNNNNNNNNNNNNNNNNNNNNNNNNNNNNNNNNNNNNNNNNNNNNNNNNNNNNNNNNNNNNNNNNNNNNNNNNNNNNNNNNNNNNNNNNNNNNNNNNNNNNNNNNNNNNNNNNNNNNNNNNNNNNNNNNNNNNNNNNNNNNNNNNNNNNNNNNNNNNNNNNNNNNNNNNNNNNNNNNNNNNNNNNNNNNNNNNNNNNNNNNNNNNNNNNCACGCUGGCGGCGGGGCGUGACGGCGCGAUGGUGGGCGGCGCGGGGGCGAGCGGCGCGGCCUGCUGCUCCCGCUGGCGCCUGGCCGAGGCGUGGAGGCUGCGCGCGGCCGCCGGGCUGGCUCGGUCUGGCUCGGCCAGAUCUGGCCACCUAGGCUGCGCGGGCACCGCCGGGGCUGCCGUCGGCGGGUGGUCCGGUGCUGGUACGCUGGGGCGGCGGCCCCAGGCUGAGGCGGAUUCGCUCUCUUCUCCCCGGAGCGGAGGCGCGUCGUGGUGGCUGGUUGGGAGUUGCGGCGGAUGUGCGGCGGCGUCCCGGCGGAGGCGCUGAUGUCCCUGGCCGUGAGGGCGGCGGGGAUGUGGCGGGUGGAGGCAGGCGCUGGUCUCCCUCGACCAGGGGCUGCGGUGGACGCGCCUACUAGGCGGCGUGGUGGUCUGCAGAUGGUGGCGCGGCGGCAUUCGGUUCCCCUCUCCACGGUGAUGGCCCAAGGUGGCAACUUUGCCUCCCACUUCCAGUUUGUUGAGCUCCGUGGAUGAUGGGCGUGGCCAAGGAGAAAUUUGGCGCGGCUACGACUGCGGGCAACGGCGACGCUCGUGGGCGCCGUCUCCUCCCUGGAGGCGUUGUCAUGGCCAUGCCCAUCCGCUCUACUGACACCGGAGGAAACUCUAGGCUCGGUUCACCGGGCCAGGCAGCGGCGGCGUAUCGGCGCUGUCCCCUUCUUGGAGGCGCUGCCUAGGUGCUUGGGGUGUCGUCCGGGGACGUGGCUGGUGGGUUGCCUCGCUUGCCUCGGCGGUGUGGCUUGGGGUGCAGGGUUGUCAUGUGCGGGAUGUUGCUGUGGACAUGAGCAUCCGGGGCGCUAUGUACUCCAUCAUCGACGCCUCAUCGGCGACGUCUUCUUCGAGUCAGACUAGCUCCCGCUGUCCACUGGCCGAUCUUCUAGGCACCAUCGGUGGAGAGUGCGUUGACCUAGUUUGGUUAGGUGAUUUGUCGUGCUAUGAGGUGUUUGAUACCGGGGGACGCGGCCUGUGUGCUCUGUGUCCGUACUUUUCGCCAUUGUUUGGCUUGAGUUUGGGCAAGGGUGUUAGUUGCCGAUGUUGUCAUGGUGGUUGUGGGUGUUAACCUCUCGGGGUGGCACAUUGCCGAAAGGCGUUGUAUCAGCCGUCUUGGUUCUUCUUCUAUGAAUAUAUGAUACACAUGCUUGUGCGUAUUCGAGAAAAAAAAGAAUAUUAUACGUGUGUAUUUCUAUCAACGUUUCUCUGCAUUAAGUUUGACAUAUCACAGACAUUUUAUUAUAACAAAAAAACCAGAUUUCAAAUUGAUACACCAAUUCAGCAAAAGAGAAGCUGUUGCUAAAUGAGAGAGAGAGAGCUAGAGAGAGAACAGGAGCCACCGCUGUGUGUACGGUGAGGGGAGAGAUGGAGUUGCUGCAGCCAUGGAGAUAGAUAAAAGUAGAGCAGCAACGGCAGGAGCUCCAAUUUUUAGUACACGUAACUGGGAGAGAGGGAUAGUGCAGAAGCGCCGCGUGCAAGAGCAAUGGCCGUGCGUGUCCGUCGACAACAAUCGUGGGCGGGAACGCAGGUGAAUGGGGGCCGAUGCUAAUUGGUAGCAGAGGAGCCCAGCGCUUGUUCCUGUGGUGGCGAUUGGUAACUUACAGGCCGUUGAGAGCAUCUCCAGCCGUUUGGCCUCUCAGGGCGCCUAAAUAGAGUGGCCUGAGGGCGUGCCGGUGUUAGUUUGGCCCCUGGGGGCGACCUAGCUCCCAGUUACGCCCCCAAGCGCCGGCCCAAGGAUGCGGGAAAUUUAAACUUGGUCGUUCCCGCUCUCAAAAGACGUCACAAAUCCGGCGAUCGGACGUAGUCUGGCGUUACAAAAAACAAGCAUGCCGCAAGUUCGCGUGCGCAAUGAUUCACUCGGCGAGAUCGGCUCCAGGCGUUGGCGGAGUCGGCGUGCGCGGGCUCGGCGGUGUCGGAGCUACUUCGGUGCUGGGCUGUGUCGACGCGGCUUCGGCACUGCUGGGCGGCGAUGUAGAGGCGUCGUUCGGGCUUGGCGUCCGUGUGGUCGUGGGCGCGGGAGCUUGCGUCGUCGGCGUUGCCAUCUGCAUCUGGUUCAGGAUGAGGCCGCGCUCCACCAUGUACCACGCCUUGAGCUGCUCGUCGUUGCUCUGGAGCAUGUCCGCCUCGCCCAUCAAAAAAGCCAUGUCGGUGUUCCUCUUCUUCGCGGCGACGUUCGUCCGGAGCAGGUCGAGCUUGAUGGCGCUGUUCUUCAUCAGCGACGACCACCGCGCCUCGGUCUUCUUUUCACGUAGGACGGCCCGGGCCUGGGCGUCGGCGAGGCAAUGCUCGAUGGACUCCUGCACUCGCGCGGUUGUCGCAUCGGUGUUUUUCCCCUUCUUUGCCAAUUUGUGGCUGUCCGGCCGCCCCUCUGACGCGCCCGGAGUCGUCGCGUCCGGCUUGUAGGUCUCCUUGGCCUUGUCGAGGGCACGUCGGAUUUCCGCCCACUUCUCGCACUUGUCAAUGCGCUUGUAGACGUGGAGGUGUUUGAAGUCGGCGUCUUGGUUGUCACGCCGAUACAUGGUGAACAUACGCAGCAGCUGCGCGGAGGAACAAACAGUUGGCGGGCGGCGGGCGUGGACGACGAAGAGAUGCGGGCGAACGGCGUGCGUACCUGAUCCUCAACGCUGGCGCCGCUCUCCGGGCGAGCCGCGACCUCCUCGACGAUUCCAUGCCAUUUGUUGCAGGCCAACUGGAUACGCCCCCAAUGGUUCGCCAUCGCCUUGAAGCCGCGCUGCAUGUAGACGCCUUUGAAGUACGGGUCGACGAGCUUCUGCUCGUCGAACUCGGCCUUGAUGUGGUCCCAGUACGUCUCCAAGCUCUGGUUCGCGCCGGUGGUCGGAUCGAGGCAGACAACUUUCCAUGCUUCGGCGAGGUAUUCUUCCUCCUUGGAUGUUCACUUGAUGCGCGGUUCGCCUGACCUAGCCGCCUGCUUCUUCUUCUGGCGCCCCUUCGCCGGAACAGGAGCCGGCUCCUCCUCCUCCUCCUUGUCCUCCUCCUCCUCGUCCUCUUCCUCGGGUUCCUGCGCUUCGUGCGUGUCCUCGCCGUAGACGUAGCCGAGCUCGGUCUCCAUAUCGCCGCUGAGAUCCACUACCUCGUCCUGGGUGGCGAACCCGGGAGACGCGGCGGCCGCGGUCGAUCCUGUCGCGAUGAUGUCGUCCAUGUCGGCUCCUGUGUCGUCGGUGUCGCCGAGGUGCGAGAAGGGCAACGGUCCACGCGGAGAUGGGGCGUCGGCGUGGACGCGUAGGCGGCGGGCGGCGAGUAGUUGUAUGGAGGGUACUGCACGCCGACGAAGGCGGGCGAGGGUGUGCGCGUCGCGGGGUGGCCAUGGGUGAAGGUCACAUUUGGGUUGAAGCCACCGUGCGCGUCGCCGUCGGCGUAGCCGGGCGACGACGAACCCCAUGGAGAUCCGACGCCUUGCUGUCCCCAGGGCGCGUACUGGGCGUGGCUGACGACGGGUGGAUUCAUCAUCCCCGCCUGGUCGACCGAUGAGGAAGACGCCGCCGUGCGCGCCGCGUUGUCGCGGGCCUUCUUGGCAAUGGCCCUGUUCCGCCGGUCGGCGGUGACUGCGUCGCGCCGCUGAACUUCCACCCUCCACUCGGCGUUCGACAGGCCCAGUGGUUUCGAUGGCGGCGCCCUCGGCUUCCUCUGCUUCGGCUGGGUCACGGUGCCAUUCGCGUACUUCUUCGGCUGCAUGGCGGCGACUGGAAGACGAGCGGGAGGGGGUUUGACGGGAGAAAGGGAGGGAAUGGCGGGAGGAAGGCGAGCGAGCGGGAAAGAUGCAAGGGAAAAGCGUCAAGAAACGGCGGGAAAAGGCCUUCGGGUCGCCGACAGGGCGGACCCACGCGCCUUUUUCGCUUGUGCCGGCUCCCCAAGCGCCCCAGGGCGCCGGGUUCGGCCUGAGUCCGCCGGCAUCAGUUUUGUCCAGACUGGCGAAAAACGGGCUUAUGGGAAUGCGACUGGGCCGUUUUUUUUAUGCCGGCGCGGCAAAAUCGCUUGGAAAGGACUUGUUGGGGGCGCGGCUGAAGAUGCCCUGAGGGAGGCGGCACCCAGGUGUUCGUGGGCAGUAGCGCACGCACAAAAGAAGGAGCGGCGAUGCAUGCGGCAUGGGUGGCGCGCGCGGGGAGACCAGGUGGCGGUGUGGCGACGAUAGCGCGAAGCAGGUCCCAGCGCCGGCCUUUCUCGAUGGAGGAGCGAGAACGGCGCAGCCGCCUCCUCCAUGGAGGCUGCCGCUCCUUUGCCGUAGAUGCCCCACAGCCCACAGCGGCCCUCGCAUCACUCCAGAUCGAGCAACACGACACAGUUACGACGGCGGUGGCAACUUCGGUAGGGACGGCGAUGCAGUUCCUUUCUCGGAGAGCAUCAGAGGCGGCUCGACGCAGCUCCUCCCCGGUACUGUCCCUGGGAAGAAGACCCGAGGCAAUAAUCUGGCAAGGAAGGCGACCUAUUUAUAACCCCACACCGUAGCACGGUACGUACGUAUGCAGGGCAAAAGCGGUAGCAGUAAGCGGUGGGAUUUCUAGAGCGAGGCACGAUAGGACUCUGGAAUAAACGGCACCGAUCAGAGACACCAACAGCGGCAAGAACAGAAGAAAGCGACGCAUCGAUCGGGCAACAGCGGCCGGGAGACAAACGCAUGGCCAAUUCAAAUACAUGAAAGCAUCAAAUUCCAACGCGACAGUGACGCAAAGUAAGUACUCCCUUCGGUCUUUUUUAAUUCGCAUAUAAAAUUUGACUGAAAUCAAGCUUUGUAAAGUUUGACCAACUUUAUAUAAAAAAGUAUCAACAUUUACAAUCUAAAAUCAAUAUCAAUAGAUGUGUCAUGACUUAAAGUUUUGAUAUUGUAUAACUUUAGCACGUUAGAUGUUGAUAUUUUUUGAUAUAAAUACGAUCAAAUUUUAUAAAGUUUGACUUCAAAAAAUUCUAAUAUACAGAGUAAAAAGGACCGGAGGGAGUACGCAAAAUUACCAAACAAAUCAACCUACCCCACAUGCAGUACAAAAACGCUAAACCAACCAAAUCGAUAGCCACACCCGUUCAAAAAAUUUCAAUCAAAAACUUGUAUCCACAACGCCUUUCUACCCCGCCGUGAACCAAAUUAAUAUCACGCGGCACGUACGCUAUUCACCACGGAUCACUUUCAUAUAAGUGGUCUGUUCUCAAAGAAAAACCUUGGCUGGAAUAGAUGCUUGGGUAUACUUCACUACAGGAUUUAGGGGAUCGGCUAGAUCCCGGUCACUAGGAGCCAAUCCAAAUCCAAUAAACGAGCUAGCUCCGUAUCAGUUGCAAACUAGUGAUGGUACUUUAGAAUGCAUUUUAGAGCUUUGAUUUCCUUUUUCUUUCUGCCACUGACUUUCAUCGAUGUGAUUUCAUGAUGAAACAUUGCUAGUACUCUAACAUUCACUAAACUUUGCAAAAAAGAAAAAAUCAGAUUUUUUUUUUGAAAUUAUCUUCUACUCCCUCCUUUUCGAAUUACUUGUAUGUAUGGAUGUAUCGAGAUGUAUUUUAAUUCUAAAUACAUUCAUUUUUGAGACGAGUAAUUUGAAACGGAGGGAAUAUGUUUUAUUAUACUAUUCAUGCCAAAAGCAUUUGAGCUCGAGGUGAGAAAGAUACUUCCGCUAUAGAACCGGCUUUACAACGACAGAGAAAAACGGCAUGGCAAGACGUACCCCUGCUUCUAGUACAGCUUUUUUUUUUGUAUGUGGAGCCCAAUCUUCUCUUGAUGUUGGACGAGGCUUCAGUGAUCACCGUUACACCACAACCCAAAGCAAGAGACAUGGUACGAUCACGUAAUACGCAACGGCGGCGACCGGAGUCGGUGGCACGAGCACCGAAGAAGCAGACUCGUUGUAGUAGGGAAGGUAGCCGAUCGGAGGCGCUUGGUAGUACGGCUGCUGAGGCGUGUUUUGGCCGCCGCAGCAAACGGGCGUCACCGGCGGGCACGGCGCCUGCAUGCCCGGGGAGGG
rnacentral:lncRNA from 1 species